CACAUGUAUCAUAUUUUUCUGCCACUUGCCACCUCUUAAGGGAGAACCCAGCCCAUUUCACAGGAUGUUUAAUGUGUGCUCACAAAUAGAUUCCAUCAGCUCUCCUACGGCACCCAGGAGGUCAGCUGCCCCAUGGAGGAAGCAAGAUUUGUGUGCAUUAGAAAUAAAUGAACUGUUGGAGAUAGGAUCUUCUUUGUUGACAAAACAAGUCUUGAAGAUAAGAGAUCAAGGCUUCUAGUUAAAUGGAGCAGUGACCUUAUCAGAAAUCUCAAAGCAGAAAAGUCUGUCAGAAAAACAGCAUCAGAUCAAGGAAACCAAGUACAUGGAGCUAAUUUUUGACUCUAAAGAAAGGCAAGAUUAUUUAAUAAUAAUGAUAAUGGCACAGUUUGUUAACUAUGUGAAGAAAAUCAAAU
rnacentral:lncRNA from 10 species